CCACCAAGCUAGGGGUGUCCGAGCAAAUCGGGCUGAGAUUAUACCCUCAGAACCUGACCUGGUUAAUACCAGCGGAGGGAAGCGUUGAUUGAGGUUA
rnacentral:ncRNA from 2 species